rnacentral:lncRNA from 1 species
GCUGGGUGUGGUGGCGCACGCCUUUAAUCCCAGCACUUGGGAGGCAGAGGCAGGCGGAUUUCUGAGUUCGAGGCCAGCCUGAUCUACAAAGUGAGUUCCAGGACAGCCAGGGCUACACAGAGAAAUCCUGUCUCAAAAAAAAAAAAAAAAAAAAAAAUCUAGUUUCAGUUAGCUUGGAGCUCAAUAAGUAGAACAGGCUGGUCUUGAACUCAACAGAAAUCCACCUGCCU